AUUGAACGCUGGCGGCAGGCCUAACACAUGCAAGUCGAACGAGUGGCGGACGGGUGAGUAAUGUCUGGGAAACUGCCUGAUGGAGGGGGAUAAAUACUGGAAACGGUAGCUAAUACCGCAUAACAUCAGAUGUGCCACGAUGGUAUUAGCGUGUUGGUGGGGUAACUGCUCACCAAGGCGACGAUCCCUAGCUGUGCUGAGAGUAUUACAAGCCACACUGGAACUGAGAGACGGUCCAGACUCCUACGGGAGGCAGCAGUGGGGAAUAUUGCACAAUGGGCGCAAGCCUGAUGCAGCCAUGCCGCGUGUAUGAAGAAGGCCUUCGGGUUGUAAAGUACUUUCAGCGGGGAGGCGUUACCCGCAGAAGAAGCACCGGCUAACUCCGUGCCAGCAGCCGCGGUAAUUC
rnacentral:rRNA from 1 species